rnacentral:rRNA from 1 species
UACGGGGGGGCAAGCGUUGUCCGGAAUCAUUGGGCGUAAAGCGCGCGUAGGCGGCCCGGUAAGUCCGCUGUGAAAGUCAAAGGCUCAACCUUUGAAUGUCAGCGGAUACUGCCGGGCUAGAGUCCGGAAGAGGCGAGUGGAAUUCCUGGUGUAGCGGUGAAAUGCGUAGAUAUCUGGAGGAACACCGGUGGCGAAGGCGGC